CCUACGGGAGGCAGCAGUGGGGAAUAUUGCACAAUGGGGGGAACCCUGAUGCAGCGACGCCGCGUGGGUGAUGGAGUCUUUCGGUAUGUAAAGCCCUAUCAGCAGGGAAGAACAAUGACGGUACCUGACUAAGCAGCACCGGCUAAAUACGUGCCAGCAGCCGCGGUAAUACGUAAGGUGCAAGCGUUAUCCGGAUUUACUGGGUCUAAAGGGAGCGCAUGCGGGGGGUUGAGCCUGGUGUGAAAGUCCGCGGCCCAACCGCGGGACUGCAUUGGGAACUGGAGCGCUGGAGUGCAGUAGGGGUAGGCGGAAUUCGUAGUGUAGCGGUGAAAUGCGUAGAUAUUAGGAGGAACACCAGUGGCGAAGGCAGCCUAUUGGACGGUGACUGACGCUGAGGCUCGAAAGCGUGGGGAGCAAACAGGAUUAGAUACCCGAGUAGUC
rnacentral:rRNA from 1 species